AAACAUGCAGAAAAAAACUAUUUAAGAACAUCAAUUAUGCUCAUAUUUAAUAUUCA
rnacentral:tRNA from 1 species